GACGAACGCUGGCGGCGUGCUUAACACAUGCCAGUCGAACGGAAAGGCCCUGCUCUUGUGGGGUGCUCGAGUGGCGAACGGGUGAGUAACACGUGAGUAACCUGCCCUUGACUUUGGGAUAACUCCAGGAAACUGGGGCUAAUACCGGAUAGGAGCUCCUGCUGCAUGGUGGGGGUUGGAAAGUUUCGGCGGUUGGGGAUGGACUCGCGGCUUAUCAGCUUGUUGGUGGGGUAGUGGCUUACCAAGGCUUUGACGGGUAGCCGGCCUGAGAGGGUGACCGGCGACAUUGGGACUGAGGUAGGGCCCAGAAGCCAACGGGAGGCAGCAGUGGGGAGUAUUGCACAGUGGGCGGAAGCCUGAUACAACAACGCCGCGUGCGGGAAGACGGCCUUCGGGUGGUGAACCGAUUUCGCCUGUGACAAAGCGGGAGUGACGGUAAUGGGUAAGGAAGCACCGGCUAACUACGUG
rnacentral:rRNA from 1 species